GCUUUAUGCAUCUCUCUUCUCUGAAAAACUUGUAAAGAUUGCUUUUUGAGCUUCUGGAAAAUGCUUGAAGUUUACAGAAGCAGUUCAGUUGAGUGGAAACCGUCGCCGGUGGUAGCUUUAGCUACUAGCGUCGAUGAUUCUCAGGUCGCCGCUGCUCGAGAGGAUGGUUCUCUUGAGAUUUGGCUUGUUUCACCUGGCUCCAAUGGAUGGCACUGUCAACUCAUAAUACAUGGAAAUCCUAAUUCAAGGGUUUCCUCGUUAGUUUGGUAUCAGUCAGGAUCGAGAAAAUUACCUGCAGGCCGGUUAUUUUCAUCCAGCAUUGAUGGAUCAGUUUACGAGUGGGAUCUUUUCGAUUUGACUCAGAAGGCUGUGCUCGAUUCUAUUGGUGUUUCAAUAUGGCAGAUGGCUGUGGAGCCCUGCAAUAAUGCACAGCUUCAUCAGAAUCCUCCAAAGAAGUAUGAGAAUGGCCAUGUUAGUUUUACAAGUGGUGUUAGUAGCGAUAGUGAGAGCAGUGACGGGGAAGAGGAUGAUGACUCAGUUGUUCUUCACGUGGAUGAUGUUAAUGAAAAUGGUCGAAUUGCAUUUGCUUGUGAUGAUGGUCGUGUUCGUAUCUGCGCUAUUUCGGAUGAGAUGAAUUUGUCUUACGAAAGAUUGUUUCCUAAGGUCAAUGGGCGUACGUUGAGUGUCACUUGGAGUUCUGAUGCAAAGAGGAUAUAUUCUGGUAGUAGUGACGGGUUUAUAAGAUGUUGGGAUGCCAAGCUUGCAUAUGAAAUCUACAGGAUAACAGUGGGUCUUGGAGGUUUGGGUAGCGGAUCUGAUCUAUGCAUAUGGUCAUUACUUGCAUUGAGAUGUGGUACCCUGGUUAGUGCAGAUAGUAGUGGGAGUGUUCAAUUCUGGGACUCCCGGCAUGGAACUCUUCUACAGUCACAUUCCAGUCAUAAGGGUGAUGUGAAUGCUUUAGCAGCAUCUCCCAGCCAUAGUAGUGUAUUUUCUGCUGGUUCUGAUGGUCAGGUUAUACUUUAUAAGCUCGCAGCCAAUGAGGUGGGGUCUCACAAUGGAGACAUUUCUUCUGUAGUCGUGAAGCAAUGGGUUUAUGUUAGUCAUGUGAGGGCCCAUACACAUGAUGUAAGAGCCUUGGCAGUUGCUGUACCCAUUGCUCAUGAAGAACCCAUAGUCGAACAGAAGACAAAGAAGCGGCGCUUUAAGGAGAAGGCCCUUGAGUUUAGUUAUCAUAAAUGGGCACAUUUUGGUGUGCCGAUGCUUAUCUCAGGUGGUGAUGACACUAAACUUUUUGCAUACUCUGCAAAGGAAUUCACCAAAUUUUCUCCACAUGAUAUUUGUCCCUCACCUCAGAGACCACCCAUACAAAUUGCAGUAAAUACAACCUUCAGUCAGGUUUCUUUACUCUUGGUCCAGGCUUCGUACUGGAUAGAUAUUUUUUGUGUUGGUGUGAAAAACGGGGUUGUGUCUGACAGCUGCGGGCCAUCUGGUGGGGCUGCGAGGACAGAUCUAGUGGCUCGUGUUAAGUGCAAAACUUCGA
rnacentral:misc_RNA from 1 species